ACCCGGCUGGCUCAGUCAGAAGAGCGUGCAACUCUUGAUGUUGAGGUUGUGAGUUCGAGCCCUACGUUGGGUG
rnacentral:tRNA from 1 species